rnacentral:rRNA from 1 species
UCUGGAAACUNUCUGACUUGAGUGCAGAAGGGGAGAGUGGAAUUCCAUGUGUAGCGGUGAAAUGCGUAGAUAUAUGGAGGAACACCAGUGGCGAAAGCGGCUCUCUGGUCUGUCACUGACGCUGAGGCUCGAAAGCGUGGGUAGCGAACAGGAUUAGAUACCCUGGUAGUCCACGCCGUAAACGAUGAGUGCUAGGUGUUAGGCCCUUUCCGGGGCUUAGUGCCGGAGCUAACGCAAUAAGCACUCCGCCUGGGGAGUACGACCGCAAGGUUGAAACUCAAAGGAAUUGACGGGGGCCCGCACAAGCGGUGGAGCAUGUGGUUUAAUUCGAAGCAACGCGAAGAACCUUACCAGGUCUUGACAUCCCGAUGCUAUUCUUAGAGAUAGGAAGUUACUUCGGUACAUCGGAGACAGGUGGUGCAUGGUUGUCGUCAGCUCGUGUCGUGAGAUGUUGGGUUAAGUCCCGCAACGAGCGCAACCCUUAUUGUUAGUUGCCAUCAUUAAGUUGGGCACUCUAGCGAGACUGCCGGUAAUAAACCGGAGGAAGGUGGGGAUGACGUCAAAUCAUCAUGCCCCUUAUGACCUGGGCUACACACGUGCUACAAUGGUCGGUACAACGAGUUGCGAGCCGGUGACGGCAAGCUAAUCUCUGAAAGCCGAUCUCAGUUCGGAUUGGAGGCUGCAACUCGCCUCCAUGAAGUCGGAAUCGCUAGUAAUCGCGGAUCAGCACGCCGCGGUGAAUACGUUCCCGGGCCUUGUACACACCGCCCGUCACACCACGAGAGUUUGUAACACCCGAAGUCGGUGAGGUANCCUUUUAGGGGCCA